rnacentral:lncRNA from 10 species
AAUUUUUAAAGAAGAGAAAUUUAUUUCUUACAGUUCUGGAGGCUGAGAUAUCCAAAAUCAAGGGCCUUCUUGCUGGUGGGGACUCUGCAGAGUCUUGAGGUAGCACAGGGCAUCACAUGGCUAGCAGGCUGUGUGCAAGCUCAGGUCUCUCUUCCUUUUUUUUUUGAAACGGAGUCCUGCUCUGUUGCCCAGGCUGGAGUGCAGUGGCACGACUUUGGCUCACUGUAACCUCCACCUCAACCUUUGCCUUCUGGGUCCAAGUGAUUCUCGUGCCUCAGCCUCCCAAGUAGAUGGGAUUACAGGCAUCCGCCACCAUGCCCGGCUAAUUUUUGUAUUUUUAGUAGAGAUGGGAUUUCUCCAUGUUGGCCAGGCUGGUCUCGAACUCCUGACCUCAGGUGAUCUGCGUGCCUUGGCCUCCCAAGGUGCUGGAAUUACAGGCAUGAGCCACUGAGCCUGGCCUUUCUUCCUCUUUUUAUUUUAUUUUAUUUAUUUUAUUUAUUUUUUUUUUUUGAGAUGGAGUCUCACUCUGUCGCCCAGGCUGGAGUGCAGUGUCUAAAAUAUUUGCUUUCUGUCCCUUUUAUACAAAAAGUUUUGUUGAUUCCUAGCCUACAGCAACACUUGAUGUAGAGUUGUCAAUCCAUAAGCAUCUGGUGGAAAAAUGCUGUUAACAAUAAAAAUGAAACUAAUCUAAAAUACAUGUGCAUUUAUUUGCACAGAAAAAAACAGGCUGGGUAAAGUAGCUCAUGCCUAUAAUCCUAGCACUUUGGGAGGCCGAGGCGGGAGGAUUACUUGAGCACAGGAGUUCAGGGCUAGUGAGCUAUGAUCAUGACACUGCACUCCAGCGUGGGCCACAGAGCAAGACCUUGUCUCAAGAAAAAAGAAAAAAAAAAACGGAUAAAGGAAAAAAAAGCGGCGGGGGCGGGGGGCAGGUAUAGCCAACUAAGCAUUAACCAUCUCAAGAGGAUCAGUUUAUAUCGGACGUCCACAGCAGAAAUUUGCUGCUUCUGGCUAUCUUUUCCCCACAAUUAGCAAGGGUUAGCUUCAUUAUUUUAGAGGCAACCCAACUGCAGCUUUUAGAAAGGCGCUGUGCCCUCUAGGCCAGCAAUUUGAGGGCAUGGGUUGGGGGGUACCCCGCCCCAGUCUUCCUGACCAAAGAGUGGAGCGGAAGAAAGCCAGGAGGAGGAUGUUUUGAACCUAAAUACGUCCAGCUGCAAUCCCAGUCAAGCUCGUCGCCCCCAGUUCUGCUCCACCUCCGGUCUGGCCGGGGAGAAUGUGACAGUCGCCGCAGCCCGGGAUCCACCCGGACGCACCUCACCUCGCAGUCUCCUCACUGUGCCCGCGAAAGGAAAGAGACCCUGGCCCAGGCACGAAGUCCCCAGGCCCCUGGUCGCCCGGAGGUAGCAACCAGCCAGCCCAUCGGGCUGCGACGCCGACCAAGGGGCACGCCCCGCGCCCCCCGGUCUCGACUAACACCCACCCGCGCCGUUCCAGCCUUUCCGCGGCGCCGCGCGACGGGGACCCACUCUGCGAAAGU